rnacentral:rRNA from 1 species
AGUGAACGCUGGCGGUAGGCCUAACACAUGCAAGUCGAACGGCAGCACAGUAAGAGCUUGCUCUUACGGGUGGCGAGUGGCGGACGGGUGAGGAAUACAUCGGAAUCUACUUUUUCGUGGGGGAUAACGUAGGGAAACUUACGCUAAUACCGCAUACGACCUACAGGUGAAAGCAGGGGAUCUUCGGACCUUGCGCGAUUGAAUGAGCCGAUGUCGGAUUAGCUAGUUGGCGGGGUAAAGGCCCACCAAGGCGACGAUCCGUAGCUGGUCUGAGAGGAUGAUCAGCCACACUGGAACUGAGACACGGUCCAGACUCCUACGGGAGGCAGCAGUGGGGAAUAUUGGACAAUGGGCGCAAGCCUGAUCCAGCCAUACCGCGUGGGUGAAGAAGGCCUUCGGGUUGUAAAGCCCUUUUGUUGGGAAAGAAAAGCAGGAGGUUAAUACCCCGCUGUUCUGACGGUACCCAAAGAAUAAGCACCGGCUAACUUCGUG